GACUGAGCUUGUCGAUACUUA
rnacentral:miRNA from 1 species